rnacentral:rRNA from 1 species
GCUUGUCUCAAAGAUUAAGCCAUGCAUAUCUAAGAAUAACUAACAUUAUCUUGAAUCUGUGAAUGGCUCAUUAUAUCAGUUAUAGUUUACAUGAUAGUCAAUACUACUUGGAUAACCGUGGUAAUUCUAGAGCUAAUACAUGCUGGCGUGCCCGACUUUUGCGGAAGGGCGGUAUUUAUUAGAUAACAAGCCAAUAUUCCUCCGGGUCUAUUGUGGUGAUUCAUAAUAACUGAUCGAAUCGCAAGGCCUUUGGCCGCGAUAAGUCAUUCAAGUUUCUGCCCCAUCAGCUUUCGAUGGUAGUGUAUUGGACUACCAUGGCGUUCACGGGUAACGGAGAAUUAGGGUUCGAUUCCGGAGAGGGAGCCUGAGAAACGGCUACCACAUCUAAGGAAGGCAGCAGG